rnacentral:rRNA from 1 species
UACGAAGGGUGCAAGCGUUACUCGGAAUUACUGGGCGUAAAGCGUGCGUAGGUGGUUUGUUAAGUCUGUUGUGAAAGCCCCGGGCUCAACCUGGGAAUGGCAAUGGAUACUGGCAAGCUAGAGUGCGGUAGAGGGUAGUGGAAUUCCCGGUGUAGCGGUGAAAUGCGUAGAGAUCGGGAGGAACACCAGUGGCGAAGGCGGCUACCUGGACCAGCACUGACACUGAGGCACGAAAGCGUGGGGAGCAAACGGG